AUCCUGGAAGAGUAUAGUUUCCUUCCAGCUGCAAGAUGUUAGGAAAGAAUUUAUGGAUAUUACAUUUGAGUAGCACUUUGAAUGGGUAGAUCUGGGCCAUGUAGAAAUAGAUGACAAUAGAAUUUUCUUAGGUAUAUAGAAAAGAAUGAGCAAGACCAUAAAAAAAAACAGCAAGUAGUUCACGUAGUCAGGCAAAUCGAGCCAUCUGCAGCUCAUAUUUGAAACCCCACAAAGUCAAGCAUAGAAAUUAACCACAACCUUUAUUGUUUAUUAUAAAAGGUUCUUUUUUCUCAGCUUGAGUUAAGACUCCAUAUCUGGUUCACAAGUAUCAAUUUAUGAACAAAUAGACAAGAGUGGUAUAAAAUGUACUAAUUCAAACAUGCUUAGCACAUACAGAAUUGACUCAUGGUAACGUAUUAAAAGUUAGUUAAAUCUAGUCAUUAGAAUAAUGAAAAGUGUGAAACAAUAUAAUAAUAAAUUUGUUCUUUAACUCAUGAUAAAUUCACAUAAAGCUUCCAAUCACGUGCUUACGAAAUAACCUUUAGGUAUCAUGUUGGACUAUGGUCAACAACUAGAAUAUACAAGAAAUACACUCUAUGUCAUAGUUAAUUUUGCAUAUCAUUUAAAUAAUCAAAAAAACAUUAAUAUGGGGUAAAGCAACUUUUAGCUAUGAAAGGAUAAGACAACUGUUAUCCUGAAAAAAUGAGCAUAAAGCUGGACAAAAUUGUCAAAACUAACCAUUUUGUGGUGCUGGAUAUCCAUUAAAGAAACAAACUGAGAGGCAGUUACUCCAGAGGAAUGGCAGGAACUUGGAGGAAGAACACUGGGAGUCUUUAGCUUUCUAGCCACAGGCUAUUAGUCCUCCCCACCUCCCCAAACAAGUCUGACCAGGGCAGGCCUGGCAGUGAAACCCAGCAGUUUUGCUGCCAGAGGGAAAUGACUUGAUUUAAAACAAAAGGCAAAAACCCAGUAAAAGUAGCAAAUACAGCAGAAAACAAAUGAGAACACCUACAUGCUUGCUAGCAUGAGGCUGCUUUUUCUAUUAGAGUGUCUAGCUUUCUACCGCUGCUAUAACAAAUGACCACAAACUCGGUGGCUUAAAACAACAGAAAGAAAUGUGUUACCUCACAGUUCUGUAUUUGAGAAGUCCAGAAUAGGUCUUGUUGGGAAAAAUCAAGGUGUUGCAAGGGCUCUAGGGGAGAAUUCAUUUCCUUGCUUUUCCCGUUGCUAGAGACUGUCCACCUUCCUUGGCUCACAGCCCCCUUUCCUGCAGUUUCUAAGGCAGAAACACCGUAUCUCUCUGACGAAUCUCUCAUAAGCACAUUUCCCUCUUAUUACACUUCUUUCUUUUUCUUUUUUUCCUUUUUUUUUUUUUUUUUGAGAUAGAAUCUCGCUGUGUUGUCCAGGCUGGAAUACAGUGGCACAAUCUUGGCUCACUGCAACCUCUGCCUGCUGGGUUCAAGUGAUUCUCCUGCCUCAGCCUCCCGAGUAGCUGGGAUUACAGGAGUAUGCCACCACAUCCAGCUAUUUCUUUUCUUUUCCCUUCCUUCCUUCCUUUCUAUCUUUCUUUCUUUCUUAUAGGGUCUCCCUGUGUCACCCAGGCUAGAGUGCAGUGGUGAAAUCAUGGCUCACUUCAGCCUCGACCUCCCCGGCUCAAGUGAUCCUCCAACCUCAGCCUCCCGAGCAGUUGGGACUACAGAUGCACACCACCACACCAGGCAAUUUUUUUUUUUUAGAGAUGGGAUUCUCCCUAUGUUGCCCAGGCUGGUCUCAAACUCCCGUGCUCAAGUGAUCCUUCCACCUUGGCCUCCCAAAGUGCUGAGAUUACAGGCGUGAGCCACUGUGUCCAGCCUCUCUUACACUUCUAAGGACACCUGUGAUUACAAUGGGCCCACCGAGAUAAUCCAAAAUAAUUUUCCUACCUUAAGGUUAGCUGAUGAGCAAUCUCAACUCCAUCUGCAACUUUAACUUCCCCUUGCUGUGUAAUCUAACAUAUUUACAAGUUUUGGGGGAUUAGGAUGUGGAUGUCUUUGGAGGGCCAUGAUUCUGCCUACCACACAGGCAAAUGGCAAAACAGCCUAAAACUUAAUGAGACAACCCUGAAAACAAAAGAACUGGAGUAGGAGUAGGUGAGCUUCCCAGGUACCCCAGGCUGCUGGGAAACUCCACACAUUUGCAGGAGAAAGGAGAGGGGGCCUUGCAAAAGUCAGAGCAGAGGAAGAAGCGAGAAAUGCCUGGACUCUGAAAGCACUCUCCAGCCUACACAUAGAUCCAGGGCAGAGCACAGAAGCCUAAGGGGAUUGAGUAAUGGAGCCCACUGCUGCUCAAAUACAGGCUCACCACUAGGCUACACAGAUGCAGGCAUGAAUCCUAAAAUACUAUGCUGAAAGCCAGGCACAGUUGUGCAUGCCUACAGUCCCAGCUACUCAAGAGGCUGAGGUAGGAAGAUCACUUGAGCUCAGGAGUUCAAGUCCAGCCUAGGCAAUAUAGUGAGACUUGUCUCUAAAACAAACAAACAAUUUUUUUUUAAUUUUUUUUUUUUAACUCAGCAGAUAUAUUAGCUGGCCAGACUCAGUCCAGAUUCCACAGAUUAAAGCCAGGCUGGUUAAUACAUUUAAGAAAAGGACUGCAAGAUCUCUAUGUUGAAAACUUCAGGCCAGGAAUGGUGGCUCAUGCCUGUAAUCCCGACACUCUGAGAGACCGAGGUGGGUGGCCUAGGAGUUGGAGACCAGCCUGGGCAACAUGGAGAAACCCCGUCUCUACUAAAAAUACAAGAAAUUAGCCAGGUGUGGAGGCACGUGCCUAUAGCUCCAGUAUUUGGGGGACUGAGGCAGGAGGAUCACUUGAACCUGGGAGGUCAAGGCUGCAGUGAGCCGAGAUUACGCCACUGCACUCCAGCCUGGGUGACAAAGUGAGGCCUUGUCUUGAUUAAAAAAAAAAAAAAAAAAAUCCAUACACCUUCACUCUACUUUAGAAGCAGUCAUAUUGAAAAAAGGAGAAUGAUCUCUGAAUGAAAUACCACAUUUCCUCCUUUAUCAAUUUAAUAAGUUUUGAGGAAAAAAGAUGCCAUUAUUUAAAUGUACAGAUGAAUUGUAAGAUGCAAGCAAAUUUCAGAACUAUCAGAAUGUGAGAAGUUAUUCAUCAUAGAAUUAAGAAAUAUGAGCUCUCAAUUCUCUUUAAAUACAGUGCUAAGAGAUUGUGACAUUGUUUUUUCUUUUUAAUUUUUAUUUGUGUAUUGACAUUAUUUUUUAAUUAUUUAGGGUGUGCUUUGGUUAUU
rnacentral:lncRNA from 10 species